CGCUACAGACUACAAAACAUGAGAAAUGACUAUGCUGUUGGGGAAUGUCGCAUGGGAAACAAAAUUUUUCCUACGCGCACGAAGACCUAUCAUGGUGAUGUCCAUCUACGACAGGGGAUUUCCGAUCUACGUACCCUUGUAGAUCGCACAGCAGAAGCGUUAAUAAACGCGGUUGAUGUAGUGGAACGUCCUCACGUCCCUCGAUCCGCCCCGCGAACCGUUCCACGAACCGUCCCGCGAUCCGUCCCACGAUCCGCUCCGAUCUAGUGCCGAACGGACGGCACCUCCGCGUUCAACACACGUACAGAUCGACGAUGAUCUCGGCCUUAUUGAUCCAGCAAGAGAGAUAGAGAGGUAGAUGAGUUCUCCGUCAGUGUGACGGUGCUCCGGAGGUUGGUGGUGAUCUAAUCUCAGCAGGGCUCCGCCCGAGCUCCACAAAAACGCGAUCUAGAGGAAAAACCGUGGAGGUAUGUGGUCGGG
rnacentral:lncRNA from 1 species